GACGAACGCUGGCGGCGUGCCUAAUACAUGCAAGUUGAGCGCUGAAGGUUGGUACUUGUACCAACUGGAUGAGCAGCGAACGGGUGAGUAACGCGUGGGGAAUCUGCCUUUGAGCGGGGGACAACAUUUGGAAACGAAUGCUAAUACCGCAUAAAAACUUUAAACACAAGUUCUAAGUUUGAAAGAUGCAAUUGCAUCACUCAAAGAUGAUCCCGCGUUGUAUUAGCUAGUUGGUGAGGUAAAGGCUCACCAAGGCGAUGAUACAUAGCCGACCUGAGAGGGUGAUCGGCCACAUUGGGACUGAGACACGGCCCAAACUCCUACGGGAGGCAGCAGUAGGGAAUCUUCGGCAAUGGACGAAAGUCUGACCGAGCAACGCCGCGUGAGUGAAGAAGGUUUUCGGAUCGUAAAACUCUGUUGGUAGAGAAGAACGUUGGUGAGAGUGGAAAGCUCAUCAAGUGACGGUAACUUCCCAGAAAGGGACGGCUAACUACGUG
rnacentral:rRNA from 1 species